AUGGGGCUGUCUGGUUCGUCAGGAACACUUUUAUCUCGGGGCCUUACGAUUCUUCAGGGAGCUGUCCCUGGUUGAGACCCUGGUCUCUUUCACACGGCGCCCACCUACCUAGGUAGGUCUCCGAGAAUCACCGUUCCAACGGCCGAGGCGGCUCCACU
rnacentral:other from 1 species